rnacentral:rRNA from 1 species
UACGAAGGGAGCUAGCGUUGUUCGGAAUUACUGGGCGUAAAGGGCGCGUAGGCGGCUCGACAAGUCAGGUGUGAAAGCCCUGGGCUCAACCCGGGAAUUGCGCUUGAGACUGCCGAGCUAGAAUUCGGGAGAGGUUGGUGGAAUUCCCAGUGUAGAGGUGAAAUUCGUAGAGAUUGGGAAGAACACCCGUGGCGAAGGCGGCCAACUGGACCGACAUUGACGCUGAGGCGCGAAAGCGUGGGGAG